rnacentral:antisense_RNA from 4 species
ACCGCACAAAAAGAAAGUGUCCCGGACUGCAAGGUUCGGGACACUUUCUUUUUAGGCUCCUAUGCUUCUCGAAGCACU